rnacentral:misc_RNA from 1 species
GCAAUGCGUAAGUUGUCUAGACGAAGGCGAAAAGCAACAGAGAAAAGAGGAAGAAAGAUUAGCUUCCGUCGAAGCUCGCGCCAAAGCUGCUGAAGCUGCUCAGAGAAGGCAAGAAGAAUUUGAAAAAUCUGCUGCAGGAAGGGCCGCACGUGCUCAGUUGGCAGCAAAUGCAAAGCAAUCUGCCAACACUAACAAGGGAGAACCAGUUCUAAAGUGGAGUAUGGGGUGAGGUCGUUCUUUAUUGUCAGCUUUCACUUCUUUUUCACUUUGUGCAGUGUUAAUAAAAGGAAAAGAUCGUAUAUUUAUCAGCAUUCCUGGGCUCUGCUUGUGCCAAGCAACUUGUCUAUACUCCCAACUCCCAAGUCUCCCAAAGG